rnacentral:rRNA from 1 species
GACGAACGCUGGCGGCGUGCUUAACACAUGCAAGUCGAACGGAAAGGCCCUGCUUGCAGGGUGCUCGAAUGGCGAACGGGUGAGUAACACGUGGGUGAUCUGCCCCUUACUUUGGGAUAAGCCCGGGAAACUGGGUCUAAUACUGGAUAGGACCAUGCUGUAGGUGGUGUGGUGGAAAGAUUAGUUUCGGUAAGGGAUGAGCUCGCGGCCUAUCAGCUUGUUGGUGGGGUAAUGGCCUACCAAGGCGUCGACGGGUAGCCGGCCUGAGAGGGUGGACGGCCACAUUGGGACUGAGAUACGGCCCAGACUCCUACGGGAGGCAGCAGUGGGGAAUAUUGCACAAUGGGCGCAAGCCUGAUGCAGCGACGCCGCGUGGGGGAUGACGGCCUUCGGGUUGUAAACUCCUUUCAGCCAUGACGAAGCCCUUGUGGUGACGGUAGUGGUAGAAGAAGCACCGGCUAACUACGUG